rnacentral:lncRNA from 1 species
UGUCCUGAAGGAGCUCUGCAGAAACCUGAGCAGGUUAAGGGGUUACAAUCCUUACCUUUUGUAUCACCUUUUUUCAUCAGAAGGAAUUGGUGCUUUAAAAUGAGGUGUGCAGCAUCAUCUGCUGAUCUCAAAUACAGGGGAAGUAUUUUUAGUUAAUGAAAUGAUAAAAAAAAUGGGCUUUUUGGUAAGAGUCUGUAGAAUAGCAGAAUGUCCUGAAUAUUCAAAGGCUUUAUUGGUUUGUCUUCAUUUUACCCAAAAUGCUGCUUGAGUAUGGAAGACUUCUGCAAAAUUAAGAGGGUUUAGUUUAAACUGUUUGAAGGAUUUGAAAGUGCUUCCAAGAGGCUCAAAUAACCUUUAAAUUUUGAAUGUUUCCUGAGCUUUGAGUGUUCCAUCUUUUAAAAACUGUCUCCUGCAACUCUACAAACCCUGACUUCAGUUUGUAUUUUGAGCACAAGAAAACAGCUCCUGAGUAUCUGAGACUGUGAAGAACAGAGCCCAGUUCUGAAAACACCCCUGAGGUGAUGGCUGAGUUUCACUGCUGAACUCUGAUCCUCUAAGCUUUGUCAAGGAGACUCGCCAGGAAUUCGAAGCAGAUAUUUUUGUGUUGCAAUGACAUCACCCCGUUCCCUGAGGUUUCCAGAAAUCUUGAGCCCUCUGUGUACAGCAGCGUGUUCAUUCUUGUGAAGUCAUUCUAAACUGAGAGUGAUUCCACUGCAGUGGUGUCAUGUAAUUGUUCCAAAGCUGCUGAAUUAGAUCCCGGAGUCUUGUUUGGUUUUGUUUUGGUUUUGUUUUUGUUUUUUUAGGCAAAGAUAAAGCCUUGAAUGAGAAUCAGCCAGCAGAGCCACAAAGGGCAGCUGUAGUUUUUGCUCCCUGCACAGGAGGGUGCUCAACCUCUGUUUUUAUCUGCAGGAAGGAGUGACUCCGUGGUCAUCAGGACCAAGUGGAGAAGCUGUUUCCUGAACCGGGCUUUUCUUGUAGAGACACUGGAGGAUCUGUUAAAUCCAGUGACUCAAAAAUUAUUCAGCUGCUCAAGAAUUUCGGGAGGUGUGUGUUAAUUGCUGCUGUUAGACCAUUACGGAGGUAUUUAGGUCAGAAGAUGUAAUGAUCAUGACGCUGGUAUUCUCUAAUGGGUGUCCUUAAAGGUGCCAGAAUUUUCAGUAGGAUCUUUGAAGUUUCUCAAAAUAAGGGUUUUUUCCCAUCUAAUUUGCUCAUCUGAACGUGUGAAUCCCCGUGUGAAUCAUUCAAUUGAACAGUGAAUUCUCAUGUGUGUAAACAUGAGUGGGUUUACCAGGAAGGAGUAGAUGAGUUUGUUAAUUUAUAUUCCAUUUGUAGUACCUGCUGGUAGUUAUAUCCUUAAUUAUUCUGUAUUUUCCUUGUUGAAUCAUAGAAUACCCUGAGAUGGAAGGGACCCACUGGGAUCAUCCAGGUCCCACUCCUGGCCCUGCACAGGACAGCCCUAGCAGUCCCACCAUGUGUAUGAUAUACAGCAAUACAUUUCCAAACCCAAAUUUAAUCUUCUAACAUAACUCAUAAAAUGGAAUUUGACUUUCUGUUUACCUUUUUAGGGAUCAAAGAGGGGUCCUGGAUGUUGUUGUCUGGUCAGGUUUUAGUUAAGUGAGUUUUCUGUCUGAAAGCAAUUUGUCAAACCUGUGUGUUGUACAAUAUUCCAGCCCUCUGGGUGCACAUCCAAUUUAGUCACUGAGGAAAGACAGUUUUGUUUUUAAAAAGCAGAUGUCUGGAAAAGGAAAUACCUCCUUUCAGACCUUUUGGAAUAAAUACAAACCUAGAAAUGUAGUGGGCAAAAUCUUGUUAGCUGUGGUGAAGGGGAUUCGUCCCCUUAACGUCAGCACAUAAAUAUUUGCUUCAUUUCAGUCAAUAUUUACCUCACGGGUCAAUAAAACUUGUUUUGCACUUCACAGAGUUAAUAUUUACUUGCUGUUUUUAGCUUGGUGACAAUAUUUAAAAUUCUCUUAAGUAUAUGGCGGGCUUUUCUACUUCUUUUAUAACAAAAGAUUUUGUUUUAACAGAGGUGUGUUAAUUUAUUAGGAAGUGUUAUCCAUGAAUCAGACCAUGUUUGUCACCUAAUAAGAUUAUCCAGAUUAUGCCUAUAACACUUUACAAGUAUGAAAAGGAUUUUUUUUGCUUGAAAGUGACUAAAUGUCUUACCAAAUUUUAAAGUAGUUGCUUGUGUCUGUAAAAUUAGGCUGUAAAACUUAAGACACUGACACUAAUUUAGAAGGUAAAGUGAAAUUAAAGCAAUUCUUACUCUGAAAAUAAUUUUUGUUUUGGAAAGCAAUCACUAACUUCACCAUUUUUUUAGUUAAGUCAAAGCACAGUGGCCAGGCUUGUAUGGUUUAGGAGGAAAUGCAGAACUGAAUUUUAGAUCCUUAGAGCUGACAAGACCACGUUUGCAAAAGUACAGGUUCAUUUCCACGGCAGAACUUUCCCCAGUGCAUUUCAUAUUUCUGUCACAGCUGGCUGGGUGCUAUUUCCAGUGGGUGAGGUGUAUUAGAAGUUGAUCCAUGGCUUCCAACCUGCCCCAGCCUUUGUCUGCAGCUGUGGGUGAGGCCAGCCCCAGCUCCUGUGGCUGCUCCAAGGAGAUAACGGGGUGCUUGUUAAGCCACGUGUGUUAUCUCACUGCCUUGUGCCCUGCUCCUGCCUGCUGUGCUUAACCCCAGUCCUCAGCAGCUUGUUUACAUUUCUGGCACAAAAAGGACCCCAAACAUCUCCAGUUCUGUCCCUCUGAAUGGUGAUUUUGUGAUUGAUACAAUUAGACAUGAGGGUGAGGUCAUUUAAUUGAAAUCUUCAGUUGAACCAAAAUCUCUGAACUAAAUCACAGCGCACCCAUAUCCUUCAAACUGUCAAACAAAACAUCUGUUUAUGAUAAUCAUUAUCUUAAUUGAAGAGUUCUAGCUCAUGCCAUGCUUUUCUUCAUUAAUGGAAAGAAUUAAUGAAAGAAUACUUAGAAAAGUACUUAACUAUUUCACUAAGAACUACUUCUGAAGUGAAAUACUGCUGAAGGAAUACUGGAAUUCAUCUUAGACUCCUAUAUAAACUUCCUCCUGGUGAACUUAACCAAGUUAACCAUUUUUCAGCCUCCAAUGCUGCAGUAAAAAUGUGCUUCCUUAAAUCUGGCUUGCUUGCAGACAGAGUCUGACACACUGGAUUUAGUACAGCUGCAGAAUUAACAUUCAAAACUCCCAUGCUGCACAGUUUCCCCACGUGUUACAUAAAAAUGCUGUGCAGCUCCUCUCUCCAAGCUCCUCUCUCAGGGCUUUAGCUGCCUGUUUGCCUCCCCUUUGGUUACUGUUUUCAUUUAUACACAAUCCAAUUUUACACUCACCCAAAUUACUGCUCAUUGUGAGAUAAAUAUGGUAAAUUGAUAAUUCUGCCCAAUAUUGACUUAACAUUCAAGGUGUAACAGCUUCAGAACAUAUUUUGAAGUGUGUUUCAGGUGAUGGGAGGCAAUGUGGGUUUCUUUGAACACCUGAACUGUAGAGCUGUGAUGGUUUGGAUGCUGUUGAUUUUCAACAUCCACAGUUUGAGAUCCAUCUCUAUAUUGUUUAAUCCUGCAAGGUAGAGAAUGGCUUAGAUUCCAUACCCAGAUUUUCAGGAUUUUUUUUAUCCAGAGACUGAAUUUCAUUCAGGAAGAUUUUUGGGAAAGUAGCUGAUUUGAUUUAGGGAGUAGAUGGAUUUUAAAGUCAUGGUAGGUAAAUACUAUCAGGUAUACCUCCUCCUCCUCCAUAGCUUUUCAUGGCAAAAGUAGUUCUGUUAUUUUUGUAUUCUAAAGAAAUAUUUCCUAACCUUUAUUUUACAAAGAUUCCUUUUUAGCAACCAACUAAUUUUUUUUUUUUAAUCAGUUUUUCAGCCCAGACUUGGUAAUCACUCCUUCCCUCUUUGUGCUAAUGGUCCUUCCCCUCCAGGAAAAUCUUAGCUUGGAUUCCUAUGGAGUCAGCAGUGAAGGAUGGAUUGGGAGCAGUGUGAAAUUCUUGCUGGUGCUGCAGCAUCUCCUGACAGGAGAGCAGAGCCACAGAGGAGGAAACAGCAUCAACAUUCUUCAUAAAGCAGAGAAAAUAGGUGCAGGCAAAUCCUUUAAAUUGAGCUAUAAUGAAAUUAUUGUUUAUAGCCCAGCUUCUCCCUUCCAUCCAGAAUCUGUCAUUUAGGUGAUUGGGCCAGCAGGUGCAAACAUAAUUGAAUUCAGGGAAAUAAAUAUGGAGGGAGGCUGGGGAUUGUUUGCUAAAAAGAAGACAUCUAGUUUACUAAUUAGGAGGAUUUAUAGGAUGCUGCACUUAAAAAUAGAUGAUUAUUGAUGGUUCAUCUUAAUCAUGAGAGUUACUUUAUAGUUUGAGGUUUCUUCCAGCUAUAAGCAGGAACAACAGCUCCUCUGCUCUGGAAACUUUCUGAAAGGCUGAACAGAAACAAUGUUGUCAAUUUAGAGAGGAGGUAGCAAAAAAAGUGUGUUACAUCUGUCUUUGAAUGAGUUACACAGCGGAAAGAACCCGGAAUUGUUUUUAAUUAUAAGAGCAUAAAAAGUUAUAGGACUGUAGGAACGAAGAUGAAAUUUGCUUUUGAUAUUCUCAUCUAAAGAUAUGUUAAAAUCAUAGGUAGAUAUUAAACUAAAAUACUUGUCAGUGGACACUGCUGAAGUGCAAGUUAAAUAUUUUAAAUUUCAUUUAUUUUAAAUGCAGUAGUGCUGAUAACACUGGCACUUAGGUCAAUAUCAUUUCUCAUUAAAGUUCUUUCAGCACUCACAGCUUUAUCAGUUACCAGCGAGCUCAUCACAGCAGCCAGGUAUGAAUUACACAUUUCCCAUGCCUUUAUCUCAUUCAUUUCUCCAUCCUGCACUUCAAUAAUUUGAAUAUGAAGUACAUCAGGAAAACAGAGUUGUUUUUUUCUCUAUGGAGAGCUCAAGCAGAACUGUUCCUCACAAGGAGUAACAAACAGCCAGACUGAAUUACCAUGGAGGAUGUUGCAGCUGAGCUUGUAAAUAUUAUUUUGAUAGACUUAUAUUUCCUUCUGAAAGGAAAGAGUAUUAAGGAAUAUUUUGAAAAUAUAGAAAGGGAAUAAAAGAAAAAAACAAACCCAGUAAGAUAAACCAGUAAGAUAAAUUUGGCUCACCAGCCUUUUUGCCAUUUCAUGUCUAACAUUCAUUUUUGAGAUAUAUCAGUUACAUCAAGCUGAGGCCAGCUUAGUUUUAUGUGCCUGAUAAAAUGGAGUGGAUUCACAAAGAUCUGGCCCAUUCUCUUCUGUCACCUCAUAUUUCUGUUACUGUGUCUGUACAUUCUAUUUUAACAGUUUGGAGAAAAAGAAAUGAAAGUUUCUAAGUAAAUAUUAUUACAUUCAGUUACUCCAUAGAGAUUCUGUAUUGUGUAUUCCUCCAAGUAAUUCAUCGUGAUAAAAUGAAAUGCUGAAAUAAAAGAGUUGAUUAAAAUUUAGAUUGGAAAUUGAAAUAUCAAAUGAAUCUAAUCUGAGAGUUAUGAUUUCAGGUUUUCUUACACCCAGCAACAAAUAAAUGAAUAUCCAGGAAGUGGAACAGCCACACACUCAGGGCUGGGGCAAACACUCAGGAGGAGCUAUGGAAUAAGAGAAUCCUUUAAUAGAGAAAUCUGUUCUUUGCUUUUGGCAGGGCUGUUCUGAGAAAGGGUUCAUAAUGCCCCAGAAGUCUGGAUUUUUCUGGAUUUGGGAGGAACCAGUAGGAACCAGAGAUAUGUGGAUGUAUUUGAUGUAUUUGCUAUUCCUCAGUUGCCUCAGGAAGUGCAGAACUUUGCUCCUACAACUUCCCUCUGGGUGCAGACUGAUGUGUCCAAUGGACAAUCCAGCUUAGUGUAAAAAUUAGUUCAGUUUGCUUCUGAUUUAAUUGUAAAAUCAUUCAGACUUUGUGUGUUUUCUCUGUGAGUAAUCCAAAUUUAGAUUUCACUGUUGGUGCUACCUGUUUUUGGUUUUUUUUUGGGUUUUUUUGUGUGUGCUUGUGUUUAAUGCAGCUGAAAGUUAUUAUGUAAAACGGGUAAAUUGGAGUCUUUAAAGGAGCUGCCAACUUAAAUUUGCCUGAGUUUCUUCAGCAGUGGAGAGGAGAGGAAGAAUUCCAGACACGUCAUCCUGAUUUCACAAGUCUGCAGAGAUCUCCAGAGUGGACUUACCCAUCUGUGUGAGGUAGUAAAUAGCUCUGUGCUUUUGUUGCUCACAAGUGGCUGCACAUGUGUGCUCCAGCCAUGUAAUCCAUGGCAUCCACGGCUCCAUCUCUGCCUAGGCACACUGGCCAUCCCCUGGCUGGGCACAGCAGAGUCCUCAAGGCUGGCAGAAAUGGGCACUUGCACUCAGAAUCACCCUGCAGUGCAGUGCAGGUGCAGGACUUCCUCUCUGACCUUCCCCCAAAACACAAAAAUUGGCAUCUGAACAUUCCUGCACUGUUCAGGGACAAUACUUAGCUCAUGAUUAAAGUGUUCCUCCCAAAACCUGACAGUUUUCUGUGUUCACUCACCCUGAAGUGACAAAAGAUAGGAAGAAGAGGAGAAUGGAAAGGGAGGCUUCACUUGCUGUGACCUUAGCUUCCAAAACAAUGCUGGAGAAAGCCACCCUUGUCUCUGGGCUUCCAAACCAAGGGACCAGCAUGGCCAGCUGGGGACAACCCCUGAAAUGGAUGUUGUUCACAGCUCCCUGCUCUCACAGUGUUUGAGCCUUGUUCAGUUUUGUCCAUGGCACUGUGGGAGAGAUUUCCCCUGCUCCAGAGUCCCUGUGGCAUCUCCUCAACACACACAAAAUCACACAAAUUCACCUUUCAGCUGGCUCCUACAAAUCAAAGUCUCCUCGUGGAGCAAACCCACAUUCCCUUCAUUGUUGUUUCACAUUGUGUACCCAUGAAGGGUCCUUCUGGAUUCAGUUCUAAAGGGAUAAUUGUACUACUUAAAUAUUAAACAUCCAAGUUCUUUUUUUAUUGUUAAACCAAUAUUAAAGUAGGACGAAGCUGAUUUACACUUUAUGGCAGUGCAUUCCAGAGUCGCUGGUGUUGCAGCUGAUGUCCUGUUCCAGCAAUAUUGGCACUGCCAGGAGGCACAGAAAUGGAGAUUUUAAUCAAAAAACUUUAUUUGAGAUCCACUUCAGUGAAAUUAUAAGCUGCCAAAAGGUGAAGACAACCACUUUAUCUGCAAGAGAAUAUUCAUUUAUGGGACUUCCCUGGUGACAUAGGUUUGAAAUGGGAAAAUGAGCUUAAAGUCUUCUUCAAGAGAGAUUUACUCACAGUUUUCUCCAGUGUCAUUCAGGGGCCAAGCUUUCAAGUCUUCCAGAUUUGGACUUGUUUUGAUUUCAUUGCAAAAUCCUGCAAGAAUUCUGCCAACAGCAAGGCCAAUGUGUCUGAAAAGAGAUGGCAUUUCCAGUACCUAAAGUGAUUGCUUUGAGUCUGUAAGGUCAUCAUGGUUGAAGGCAUGAAGAUGAGGACAUCAAAGCCUUUGCCCACUUAUGACAAUUACUCUGGAGACAAACACAGCCCAGAAGACAAAUGUUAUGAGCUACCUGAGGCUUUAUUUCCCGGAGAGUACCACGGGCAAGCAGUGUCUCAGAAUUCACCAGCCAUGGAUGUGAUUGUUCUCCAUUGUCUUGCUGUUCUCAGGUCCUGUGCAUGGAACUGGGAAAGCUUCAAGGUUGAAUUCAAAAUUCCUCAGUUGAUAUCUUAGGUUUCUUCCCUCAUUUGUAGAUAUUUUAUCAGCUCCUUAUCCUGCGUUUAGGUUUACUGACAAAUGAUGUUCUGCACUUGUGCUGGGAUCCUACAGAAGGGUUUAUUGGGAUGAAUGUGCCAGGACUGAUGAACCAGAUCCCAAAAUGCAUUAUGUACAGAAGUGGGCUGAGGUCCUCAAACCUGGGAGGUGCAGCCACGCCAAAGCCAGUGCCAGACACUAAUCCUCUCCUCCAGACACUGAGCUGUGCUGUUUGAGGGAAAAGAAAUGGGGAAAUGAUCCUGGAAUCAAUUCAGACUUGCAAGAACCAUUAUCCUGGAUAUCCAAAUCUACCCAACCCUUUUUACCAAAUGAUUUUUUCCUCUUAGUGCUACAGCCAUACCAACUCUCACGUGCUUAAUGCUGCUUUCCCCAUGUCCUUCAUCCCCUUGGAGAUGAAGAACCUCUCCCGCAGGGACACCACGGUGCCGCUGGGACUCCCAAGGGGCUCGGGCUGGCCCUGGGCACCCAGGAAUGCUCCUCGCAGCCCUGGGCUGCAGCCAGCCCAGGGAAAACCAUCUGUUCCCUUUGGAAAGGGGUUUGCUUCCCCCCGGAGCCCUCCCCCCGCAUCCCGGCUCCGGCCCCAGCUGCCGUGUUUCGAUGAGCACUGAGGGAAUGAAUCUCCUGCGUUUAAAAAUACUCUGCUUCUAUUUAGAUGAAAAGAAGAAUCUUGCUUGCCUACACUGGCAUACAAAAAUAGGCUCAGUGUGAGUAAAUCUUCAAAGUUUCUCUUGGUGAAUAUAUCUAGCCUCACUUUUUUUUUUUUUUAACUUAUAUGAUAAGUUUAUUUAUAGAGUGUCCUUCUUUCCUCCUACUCUAUCAAGACAUUUGCAGAAGGUUGUCGCUCGUCUUGUUCAGGAGUCCUGAAAUAAUUUGCAGUGCCUUUGAAACAUCAUCGUGUUGCAUAGUUGUGAUCAACGUGCUGCUGUUGCAUGAACAUAUCAUAUUUUAAUGUGAAUGUCAGGUUAGCUGAGACAUUCAGGGCUUUCUUUGACUUUAGCUGCUUUACACUGGUUUGUGUUUUCGCUUGAACACUGCAGUAAAAAUUCUGCAUAUAGUAAUUUAAAAUUUUCCAUUUUACAUGCAAGGCAUUGCCUAGAAAAUUAAUGUGUAAUAUGAGAGGAUUAGUAAGAUGUAUACACUUUCCAAACAUCUCUUAAAAAUAGCUUUCACUGUCACUGUAGCAUCUUAAUUCUGAAUAAUCUCACAGUCCUUCUGCAAAUCUGUGCAUGUAGUAACAGAGAAGCCACCUACUUCAUCCUCUUGAACUGCACAAUAUGGAUCUGGGCAUGGAAAAAAAUGGGUUUUGGAGUAGGGCUCUGCUUUGGCAGAGAGGCUGUCUGUGGAACU